AUUGAACGCUGGCGGUAGGCCUAACACAUGCAAGUCGAACGAGUGGCGGACGGGUGAGGAAUACAUCUGAAUCUUCGCUGUCGAGGGGGAUAAGGUAGGGGAACUUACGCUGAUAACGCAUACGAUAGAAUGAGCCGGGGUCGGAUUAGCUAGUUGGCGGGGUAAAGGCCAACAACGGCGACGAUCCGUAGCUGGUCUGAGAGGAUGAUCAGCCACACUGGAACUGAGACACGGUCCAGACUCCUACGGGAGGCAGCAGUGGGGAAUAUUGGACAAUGGGCGCAAGCCUGAUCCAGCCAUACCGCGUGGGUGAAGAAGGCCUUCGGGUUGUAAAGCCCUUUUGUUGGGAAAGCGGUACCCAAAGAAUAAGCACCGGCUAACUUCGUGCCAGCAGCCGCGGUAAUAC
rnacentral:rRNA from 1 species